rnacentral:misc_RNA from 1 species
GUGAAUCAUCGAAUUUUUGAGCGCAAAUUGCACUCUCCUCGGAGAGUAUGCCUGUUUGAGGGUCAGCCUAUAAAAAAUCGACAUCGUUGCUGUUUCGCGGUGGCGUUCGUCGGAAAUUGGGUUAUCUUAAACUUUUGGGUUUAGCGGCCUUAAAAUUUCCUUUUUAUUUCAUUGAAGUUUUCUAGGAUUUAUUCUUUAAAACGUUUAGGUAAC